rnacentral:lncRNA from 1 species
CAUAAGCCAGAUUUUUUUUUGACUCUAACCAAUGUGGGACUAAUGAUGCCCUUUCUUCUAUACCACAAUAGAAAAUUUUGGAGUGUUUUCAAAAUUUUGUGAAGUGUGAUCCACCAGGCGACAUCGAAAAAUAAGGUCAACCAUUCUUUUGUGCAAAAGAUAUUACUCAAACCCAUGACUUGUACUUUGAUGUGGACAAUGUGAGGCCCUAAUAUGAAAUAGAAAC